UACAGAGGGGGCAAGCGUUGUUCGGAAUUACUGGGCGUAAAGGGCGCGUAGGCGGCCUGUUAAGUCGAACGUGAAAUCCCCGGGCUCAACCCGGGAACUGCGUCCGAUACUGGCAGGCUUGAAUCCGGGAGAGGGAUGCGGAAUUCCAGGUGUAGCGGUGAAAUGCGUAGAGAUCCGGAGGAACACCGAAAGCGAAGGCAGUCUCCUGGCAAGUUUCUGACGCUCAGGUGCGAAAGCUAGGGGAGCGAACAGG
rnacentral:rRNA from 1 species